CCGAGUUUACAACUCCCAGACCCCUGUGAACAUACCUAUACGUUGCCUCGGCGGAUCAGCCCGCGCCCCGUAAAAAGGGACGGCCCGCCCGAGGACCCCUAAACUCUGUUUUUAGUGGAACUUCUGAGUAAAACAAACAAAUAAAUCA
rnacentral:misc_RNA from 1 species